UGUGAAUUAUUCAUUAGAACAGUGGGCAGGGCACACAAAGACAGAAGCUCUGACUCACUGGGUUGGUUUGUGAUCGCCUUUGAUUCUACUCGGAAGCAUCGGCGGUGCUUAAAUUCAAAACUGGCUUGUCAGGAGCUGACAGUGUACUGGAGUCAAUACUAAAACUUAGCAGUUAGCUGUAGCUUCUGCUAUUU